UCGCGGGCGUCGGUGGUGAACUCGCGGGUGCAGAGAUGCAGCGGCGUCAGUUGCUGCAGGGACGGAGUCGCGCUGGCUGAGGCGCGACGAGUGCCGGGCAGUCUGAGACCCGGUUGUUGCGGAUCGAGCAGGACCAGCGUUGGGCUCUCGGAACAGCUACACGGGUGCGGUGACCGGCGGUAGUCGCUUGGUGAGGCGGAGUAGCUCCGGGUAGUCACAGAUGGAGCAGCAACGCGGGGGCAGCAAACUUGGAGAGAUGAUGAAC
rnacentral:lncRNA from 1 species